ACSCGGSGGGCYAAMCAUGCAAGUCGAGCGGAUGACAGGAGCUUGCUCCUGAAUUCAGCGGCGGACGGGUGAGUAAUGCCUAGGAAUCUGCCUGGUAGUGGGGGACAACGUUUCGAAAGGAACGCUAAUACCGCAUACGUCCUACGGGAGAAAGCAGGGGACCUUCGGGCCUUGCGCUAUCAGAUGAGCCUAGGUCGGAUUAGCUAGUUGGUGAGGUAAUGGCUCACCAAGGCGACGAUCCGUAACUGGUCUGAGAGGAUGAUCAGUCACACUGGAACUGAGACACGGUCCAGACUCCUACGGGAGGCAGCAGUGGGGAAUAUUGGACAAUGGGCGAAAGCCUGAUCCAGCCAUGCCGCGUGUGUGAAGAAGGUCUUCGGAUUGUAAAGCACUUUAAGUUGGGAGGAAGGGCAKUAACUUAAUACGUUGCUGUUUUGACGUUACCGACAGAAUAAGCACCGGCUAACUCUGUGCCAGCAGCCGCGGUAAUACAGAGGGUGCAAGCGUUAAUCGGAAUUACUGGGCGUAAAGCGCGCGUAGGUGGUUUGUUAAGUUGGAUGUGAAAGCCCCGGGCUCAACCUGGGAACUGCAUUCAAAACUGACAAGCUAGAGUAUGGUAGAGGGUGGUGGAAUUUCCUGUGUAGCGGUGAAAUGCGUAGAUAUAGGAAGGAACACCAGUGGCGAAGGCGACCACCUGGACUGAUACUGACACUGAGGUGCGAAAGCGUGGGGAGCAAACAGGAUUAGAUACCCUGGUAGUCCACGCCGUAAACGAUGUCAACUAGCCGUUGGGAGCCUUGAGCUCUUAGUGGCGCAGCUAACGCAUUAAGUUGACCGCCUGGGGGAGUACGGCCGCAAGGUUAAAACUCAAAUGAAUUGACGGGGGGCCCGCACAAGCGGUGGAGCAUGUGGUUUUAAUUCGAAGCAACGCGAAGAACCUUACCAGCCUUGACAUCCAAUGAACUUUUCCAGAGAUGGAUUGCUGCCUUCGGAAACAUUGAGACAGGUGCCUGCAUGGACUGGUCGUUCAGCUCGUGUUCGUGAGAUGUUUGCGCAGU
rnacentral:rRNA from 1 species